UACGUAGGGUGCAAGCGUUAAUCGGAAUUACUGGGCGUAAAGCGCGCGUAGGUGGUUUGUUAAGUUGGAUGUGAAAUCCCCGGGCUCAACCUGGGAACUGCAUUCAAAACUGACAAGCUAGAGUAUGGUAGAGGGUGGUGGAAUAUCCUGUGUAGCGGUGAAAUGCGUAGAUAUAGGAAGGAACACCAGUGGCGAAGGCGACCACCUGGACUGAUACUGACACUGAGGUGCGAAAGCGUGGGGAGCAAACAGG
rnacentral:rRNA from 1 species